UCGGCCCGGACCUAGGGAGGCGGGCCGAGGGCGAAGAAGCUGCGGCCCGUGGCGAUCCUGGGCUGGAGGAAGUGGCGGUCGCUGCGGCUGCGGCGCAAAGACGGCGGGCAUGGUGGGGCGAGAGAAGGAGCUCUCUAUCCACUUUGUUCCCGGGAGCUGCCGGCUAGUGGAGGAGGAAGUUAACCUCCCCAGUAGGCGGGUUUUGAUUACUGGUGCCACUGGGCUUCUGGGCAGAGCUGUGUAUAAAGAAUUUAAGCAGAAUAAUUGGCAUGCCUUUGGCUGUGGUUUUAGAAGAGCAAGACCAAAAUUUGAACAGGUUAAUCUUUUGGAUUCUGAAGCGGUUCAUCACAUCAUUCAUGAUUUUCAGCCCCAUGUCAUAGUACAUUGUGCAGCAGAGAGAAGGCCAGAUGUUGUUGAAAAUCAGCCAGAUGCUGCUUCGCAACUUAAUGUGGAUGCUUCUGGGAAUUUAGCAAAGGAAGCAGCUUUAAUUGGAGCAUUUCUAAUCUACAUUAGCUCAGAUUAUGUAUUUGAUGGAACAAAUCCACCUUACAGAGAGGAAGAUGUACCAAGUCCCCUAAAUCUGUAUGGCAAAACAAAAUUAGAAGGAGAAAAGGCUGUCCUAGAGAACAAUUUAGGAGCUGCUGUUUUGAGAAUUCCUGUUUUGUAUGGAGAAGUCGAAAAGCUUGACGAAAGUGCUGUGACUGUUAUGUUUGAUAAAGUGCAGUUCAGUAACAAGUCUGCAAACAUGGACCACUGGCAGCAGAGGUUCCCCACACACGUCAAAGAUGUAGCCACUGUGUGUCGCCAGUUAGCAGAAAAGAGGAUGCUGGAUCCAUCAAUUAAAGGAACCUUUCACUGGUCUGGCAAUGAACAGAUGACUAAGUAUGAAAUGGCAUGUGCAAUCGCAGAUGCUUUCAAUCUCCCCAGCAGUCACUUAAGACCUAUAACUGACAGUCCUGUCUUAGGAGCACAACGUCCAAGAAAUGCUCAGCUUGACUGCUCCAAAUUAGAGACCUUGGGCAUUGGCCAGCGAACACCAUUUCGAAUUGGAAUCAAAGAAUCACUCUGGCCUUUCCUCAUUGACAAGAGAUGGAGACAAACGGUCUUUCAUUAGUCUUCAACCUGGAACAGUUCCUCAGUGUUGUUUUCUCUUCAUGAUCGUGACUUCUGACAUCUCUCCGUAUAAGAAACUGUAAAUUCACAUUGAUACUUCCAAUGCCAAUAUUGCCCCACAGGGUUUAUUUUAGCUUUCUUUUUUUUUCCUGUGUUUGUAGCUCCAUUCUCUGACAGAAACCUAGCUCCACUGUUCUUAAUAUGCUUACUAAUUGGCUCAAGUCACCUAUAAGAACCAUUCUUCUGGGGGUGCCUGGGUGGCCUGAUUGAGCGUCCAACUCUUGAUUUCAGCUCAGGGUCGUGAUCUCACAGUUUGUGAGUUCGAGCCCUGCAUCGCUCUCUGUGGUGGCAGCACCAAGCCUGCCUGGGAUUUUCUCUCUCUCUCUCUCUCUCUCUCUCUCUCCUCUCUCUCUCUCUCUCCCUUUAUCCAAAUACAUAAAUAAACUUAAAAAGAAAACAAUUUUUUUGAUUAGAACAAUUCUGAUCACACCAAGUUCUUCUGCUACCCUCAUCAUAGACCUCCAUGAGCCAGUUGAGCAUGCCUGAACUCUAGGCCAUGGCCUGUUUGAGGCCACCCCGUCCCUCCCCCAGCUGAUGAGGCACUGCACCAACAGCCACAGAAGUACCACGUACAUGCAGAGCACCAAAGAAGGAACUAGUUACCUGCAGUCAACCGUGAUCCAGAAGCAGAUGAUUCUCCUUCUGACGUAUGGUCAGAAGGACAGUAGUAGCUUAAUGUUACGUCCCAAUGCCUACGUCAUUCACCUCACUUCAUCUCAUCACAUAGGCAUUUUCUCAUCUAUCAUCACAAGAAGAAGGUUCACCAAGCUGGAGAGUUUGCCUCUCUCCUCUUCGUCUGGGCACGGAAUUCCUGCCAUUCCCCCAGGAGAUACUUACCCAGGAACAGCUUCUGCGAUUAUCUCGCCACGAUGGAUCCUGCCAUGCCAGAGUGUGGCGGCACAAAACUAAUGGUGGAGCCAAUAAGUGAGUGGAAAGUAAAAGGUCUUUUUUCCACCUUCGCGGGAUCCAUGCAGCAAGGCGGUGAGGUGCGAAGCCAGACUCCUCUUCACUUCCUUAAGAUUAGAAAUCCUGAUUUGGCUAACUGAUCUGGUCAGUAAUGAGCACCAAAUACUGACUGGGAGACUCAGGAGCCGGUGCCAAAGGUGGACAUGGAAGAAGGAGACAGUGGGGAUCUGCACAUGAAUGAAGAGACCUGACUGUGGAGUAUUAGAGGAUUUAUUAAAGGAUUGGACAGUUUUCCUUUAUGGUCUUUGUGAAGCCUCGGAGUUACUAACUCCCAGUGCAAUAUGGUAUCACAAAGAUAACAGCCUUUACUAGAAGUUCAGUUUUCUAUUCCUACCUUGGAAAGCAGCAGCUUAACAAACCCAAGUGGUCAACGUUUAUGGUACUCCUUUCUUCUAGAACCCUUUGAAAUAUAUGUCUUUUGAAUUUAGUUUUGCUGGAAAAAUCUGCAUCCAAUUUGAAUGAAAUUGAAUAUGUUUCAGGGCUCAAGCAGCAUGCCUUCCAUCUGAAGCAAAAUGGAGAUGAAUUUCAAUUAGAUGUUCCCAUUAUAAUCUGUCUCCACCUGUAGUUUUCCAUAAAAAUUGCUAGGAAGUGUGGUAUAAUGUAUGAUCAGGAUUUGCCCACUGGCAGCAGUGUCCCAUUAUCUUAGUAAAAAAGCACAAAAUAAUUAGUCUGAUGCAUAUAGAUAGCAGCUUCUUACAGCGAGUGACUUUAAUUGUGGUGAGUAAUAUAUACGGAGUUUGAAGUAUUAUAUAUUUCCCUCCCAAGAAGAUACCAAUUACUAAUUCAGUUGACAAAGUAACAAUAUUUCAGAAGAUUUAAUGCAAACUGAACAUUGUAGUCAAUAGCCACUGUAAAAUGUCCAUUUUAUGGCCUUAUUUUUGCCUGAGCUUAAUUUAUGGUAAUUUGGUAGUUGCAUAUAGCCUGGAAGUAUGCUGUUGGCUUGAAUUAGUACUUGGGUAUUGCAUAAAUCAUACUGAAUGUGUUGGCUUCAUCUAAUGCCCUUCUUUCUCCUACAUUUGGAAUCCUUCUUAUCUUGUCAUUUCUCUCUCCUCAAUCCUACCUGUAAAUUCAUGGGGCUCUAAGCGCUCAGUAUUUAGGAGAUCACUUCCUCAUAGAGUAGCAUCUUCCAAAUGCCAGAUAGAGUUCUAUGCUUCAGAGGGAGGGAAUUUAGCAAAAAUUUUUUUUGUGGGAUAGAGUAUUUGUAUCAUCCCACCUUAAGUGCUUUAAAGGAAAAUACAAUUCCCUCUCCCUGUCCUAUUUGCCUCUAAAAUCCAUGCUAAUAUAAAAGGCAAGGUUUAAAAGUAUUAUAUUAUUUGAACUAAUUUUUCCAGUGCUGGUUUAUAUUAGUUUUUUCAAUUUUGUUUUUUAAUCUGAAACAUAGGACAAAUAUGCCAGCAUGCUCUAAGCUCACAGGUAAUCUACCUGGGGACCUAAAUAAUAUGAAUCAUCCAACUGUAUGGUAAGAUUUAGUUUAGGUGACUGGGCUUCAAAGAAAUACAAUGGAUGUUUCAGAACUAAUGAGAUAAUUGCCUAUGUUCUGCUGUUCUUUUAUACUUGUUGAUAAAGAUUUUGAAUUUUUAGUUGUGGUUAGUCAUUUUUAAAAAUGAUUAAAAAUUUUAAGUCAAUAAAUGUCACAUAGACAUCUAA